rnacentral:lncRNA from 1 species
GACCACUUGAAAAAAAAGUUCAAAUUUUUUGUAAUGUUGAAUUCUCUCUCAUUAUAAGUAAUAGGAUAACUAUAUUUGAUAUGUGCGUACCUUGCAAGGUCUUCAUGUCUGUCAGACAGUUUUCACUUGACCUCGACCUCAUUUCAUGGAUCAGUGAACCAGGUUAAGUUUUGGUGGUCAAGUCCAUAUCUCAGAUACUAUAAGCAAUAGG